AGUAAACUUUAGGGGUGUUCCCAAUACAUGGAACUGAGACAUACCCUUUGAACCUGAUGCGGUUAGUACCGCCGAAGGGAAAAGUUGAAAAACAUUU
rnacentral:ncRNA from 1 species